rnacentral:rRNA from 1 species
UACGUAGGGUCCGAGCGUUGUCCGGAAUUAUUGGGCGUAAAGGGCUCGUAGGCGGUCUGUCACGUCGGGAGUGAAAACUCGGGGCUUAACCCCGAGCCUGCUUCCGAUACGGGCAGACUAGAGGUAUGCAGGGGAGAAUGGAAUUCCUGGUGUAGCGGUGAAAUGCGCAGAUAUCAGGAGGAACACCGGUGGCGAAGGCGGUUCUCUGGGCAGUAACUGACGCUGAGGAGCGAAAGCGUGGGGAGCGAACAGG